CGAUGCAUAGCCGACCUGAGAGGGUGAUCGGCCACAUUGGGACUGAGACACGGCCCAAACUCCUACGGGAGGCAGCAGUAGGGAAUCUUCCACAAUGGACGAAAGUCUGAUGGAGCAACGCCGCGUGAGUGAUGAAGGUUUUCGGAUCGUAAAACUCUGUUGUAAGGGAAGAACAAGUACGUUAGGAAAUGAACGUACCUUGACGGUACCUUAUUAGAAAGCCACGGCUAACUACGUGCCAGCAGCCGCGGUAAUACGUAGGUGGCAAGCGUUGUCCGGAUUUAUUGGGCGUAAAGCGCGCGCAGGUGGUUUCUUAAGUCUGAUGUGAAAGCCCACGGCUCAACCGUGGAGGGUCAUUGGAAACUGGGGAACUUGAGUGCAGAAGAGGAUAGUGGAAUUCCAAGUGUAGCGGUGAAAUGCGUAGAGAUUUGGAGGAACACCAGUGGCGAAGGCGACUGUCUGGUCUGUAACUGACACUGAGGCGCGAAAGCGUGGGGAGCAAACAGGAUUAGAUACCCUGGUAGUCCACGCCGUAAACGAUGAGUGCUAAGUGUUAGGGGGUUUCCGCCCCUUAGUGCUGCAGCUAACGCAUUAAGCACUCCGCCUGGGGAGUACGACCGCAAGGUUGAAACUCAAAGGAAUUGACGGGGGCCCGCACAAGCGGUGGAGCAUGUGGUUUAAUUCGAAGCAACGCGAAGAACCUUACCAGGUCUUGACAUCCCAGUGACCGCUCUAGAGAUAGAGUUUUCCCUUCGGGGACAUUGGUGACAGGUGGUGCAUGGUUGUCGUCAGCUCGUGUCGUGAGAUGUUGGGUUAAGUCCCGCAACGAGCGCAACCCUUAAUCUUAGUUGCCAUCAUUUAGUUGGGCACUCUAAGGUGACUGCCGGUGACAAACCGGAGGAAGGUGGGGAUGACGUCAAAUCAUCAUGCCCCUUAUGACCUGGGCUACACACGUGCUACAAUGGACGGUACAAAGAGUCGCUAACUCGCGAGAGUACGCUAAUCUCAUAAAACCGUUCUCAGUUCGGAUUGUAGGCUGCAACUCGCCUACAUGAAG
rnacentral:rRNA from 1 species